rnacentral:lncRNA from 1 species
UCGCACUUCUUUUUUUAUUUCCUCUAGUUGGGCAUCAGGUGUGCUUCUAUUCUGUGUGGACUGUGUGUUAUUUUCUGGUGUUCCAUCAGCUGGUGUGGUAAUAUUUAUCAACUGGGGUUUUAGGUUUUGGAAUUGUGGUCAGAUUUGGAGUUGUCGUCGAGUUUCCAGUUGUGGUCGGGCUUUGUGGUCGGAUUUGGAGUUGUAGUUCGGUUUAGAGUUGUGGUUGGGUCUGUUGGGGUUGAGGGCUUGAGGCAACACUUGGGGUCUGAGCAUGAACACCAGUUUGAUGAGGAUUAAUUAAUUCCCUCUUUAUACCUGCAGAAGGUAAACCCUGAGGGGGUCUUGUAAAGAGCACAUGUACAGAGGUUUGUUUCAAAAAACCAAAUGCACUUGGUGAAUCAGAAUAAUUGAACCAGUUAGGCGCCAUAUUCUUUGACAGUUCGUACAGCCUUUUAAC